GAGUUUUAUCGUUCCCCGUAGCCGUAUCGUCCCCGUACCCCAGUAUCGUACCCGUUCCCGUGCUAUAUAACUUGUGAACGUGUGGAAACUCCAUGUAGGGUUAAUGCAAUUGACUUUCAAGAUAGGCUCCUGGGAAAUUUUGUUUAUCAUCUAGGAAAAGGCCAGAUGUAUCAGGGGCCCAAAUAAAUUUAGCCUAAUUUAUAGGCUUUUUGAUGAGGUGGAUAACUAUGAAAUGGGUGAACCAUAUAACAUUGACCUUAAAAAACCUUUGGCGCACAACACUGGUAUUAGAGUUAGAGAUGUCGAGAUGACUAGGGCUGAUGAACAAGCCACUAAAAGUUCAGAAGAAUCGAUAAUCCUGGAGACUUGGCCAGAAGACAUGUCUCUAAAUCCAGUGCCAAAGGUGAAUGAGGGUUUUACGAAUCCACGGGGUUUAAAAAAUCCGGAUGUGCAGAUUCUGAAGGAAGCGGAUGCGACAAUAAAAGAAGGAACGAAACUGGGCUUCAAAUUGAAUGGUUUCCACAACGAGGUUAGUGAAAUUGUUUCUAGUGAAGGCGUAGACAAUGUCUUGCAAUAAAAUUUUUGUCACCUAAUUUGAGGGGGUCAAGGACCAAAGAAAGGUGGAUUGGGUUAGGGGUUUAAAAACUUCUCAUGGCGUACACUUUUUAGCGAUUCAAGAAACGAAAUUUAGUGAAGGGGUUAAUUUAGAGUUAGUUUCAUUAAACGACAACGGUUCUUAGUAAUAUCGGGGAUCACUAGACAUUCGGAGGAGCUUGUUAAUAUAGUUAAUAUCUAUGCCCAAAACGACCGUAAUUGAAAGAUGAACACCAUGGCUGGAUUUUUUUUUCAGAUGGUUGUUAUUAGGGUUGUGGGUUUUUCUUGGGGAUUUUAACGAUGUUAGAGAUCAUAAGGUUUAAUUGUGAUUUCGUUGCACUAAACGUGUUUUGGUUGAGUAUAACAUUGGGUGGAAAUAUACGUACAAUGGGGAUAGCAGAUUGUCUAUGAGCAAAUUGGAUAGGUAUUUGGUUUGUCGGAAUUUCAUGAUCAGGUGGCCGUUCGCAAGUGUGGUUGCGCCGUUCGCAAGUGUGGUUGCGUUAUCUAAUUAUGUGUUCGACCACUGUCCAAUUGUCCUUAAAACUACAUAGACGAAUUUUGUCCUAUACCAUGUAGAAUCUUUAACUCAUGGAUUGAAAUUCCGGAUUGUAUGGAAAUGUGGAGCAACUAUGCUCCCUUUUUGUUUUAAUAGGCUGACGGAUCUAUGCUUAGCAAUACAAGUGAAGUGGGUGAAACAUAAAAUGGAAACCUGGGUAAAUAAUUUUAAGGCGUCGAGGGAUGUUGAGUACGUUGCAAAACUGGCUGAAUUAGAAGCUUUGGAGCUGUUAGCAGAGGAACGGGAUUUGAAUGAGUAGGAAUUGGAGUCAAGAGCCGAACAUAAAUUUUAGGAAGUUGGGUCAAUUGAAAAGAACAAUUAAAAACAAAGCAAGGGUUGAAGGAUCCAUAGUAGAGUCAUAUCUCGUAGAUGAACUUUCUCACUAUUGCUCCUUGCAUUUGGGCUCGACAAUAAAGACAUGCCUAUACCACGAGCCUCGAAAUUUUGCCCCUAACAUUCCUUGUUCUUCGAGUACGGAUUCUCGGUUAAGUAUAUUCAAACAUCCAUCUCGAAGAUUAUAUGAUAAGGGUGGAAAGACUAUAGUUCUGACAUAUAAACAUAAGCAUAAGGCUCAUACUUAUAUAUUGCUUAACUGUCAAGAGCUUCAUUAUUCUGUUCGGUUAUUUAAUGAAGAAAUGAGAGCUUCAUUUCCUAAUUAUGACCAACCAACACUUGAUAAAAAGAAAGAUAAUUUGCUAAGUGGUUGUGGGUUUAAGUUUUAAAUGGACAAGAGAAUGCACACUUGAGAGAUAUAGCACAUGGGCCUCUCACUUAUGUUAGAUCACACAAAGGCUAUCUAAUAAAUGGUUAUAAGUUCCAUACACGAACUGGCUACCAUGGGCGGGUCACAGAAAAUAGUGGUGUGUGCAUGAACGGGGCUGUUUGUAAUGAACAUGAAAGUUACUUCUAUGGAUUACUAGAUGAGAUCCUAGAGUUGGAAUAUCAUAGUAGCUUAGGAAGUUGUGUAGUCGAUUUAUUUAGAUGUACAUGGUUUGAUCCCGUGAACGAUGUACGGGUGAACCCAAAGACUAAUAUGGUUGAUGUUAAUUCCAAGGCAAUAGGAUGUGUUGACGACCCAUUUAUUCUGGCAUCCCAAGCACACCAAGUGUACUAUACACCAUAUCCUUCAAAAGAAAAAAGGAUUAUAAGACUGGUGGGCUGUUGUCAAGAUGACACCAAGGGGAGUUUAUGAACUAGCUGAAGAUGACACUAUAGUUGGUGAUAAUGAUAAUGAAGACGUGGAACAUUUCCCACAAGAGAAUGAAAGGAUAAUAUGUGUAGCUAAUAAGGAUUUGUUCCCCAUUAUUCAUGAAGAAACAAAUGUAAUAGAUGAAGUUGACGAUGUAAAUGAUGAUGGUAACGAAGAAGAUGAGUUUGAAGACAUUCAUUCAGAUGAUAGCGAAAUGGAAUUUGAAGACGAAGAUUCGGAUUAGUUAAUUUGUUUAUAUACAAACAAACACACAUAUAUGAUAUCAUCAUGGCAUGUAGUUCCGCAUGAGGUGGUAGGGGCACGGGUCAAGGUAGUGGUACCAUUGGACGAUUACAUUCGGAUGCAUAUGAGACAUUGUCUCAACAUGAGAGUAGUGAUGUUGAGGAGCCAACUGUUGGCCGACGGGGACCAGUUGCCCCUACGCCUUUACCUGAACCAAGAAAUCGUGAGCAAAUUUGUGUUAUCUAUGGAGAGUUUAGUAAUCAAGUUAAAGCUACCCGGACUAUGGGAGAAACUUUGGCGGCUAUGUGGUCCCAAAGUAUGUAUAGGAAAAUAGGAUGUUUAAGCGUUUCCUUGGAAAAAUUGGAAAGAUGUCUCUAAAGAAGAUGAAAAUAGGAUGUUUAAGCGUUUCAAAGUAUGUAUUUAUAAAAAAGUGUAUAUAACAUUGUCCAUAACUCAAUAAACCUAAGGAUGACAAUCAAACCCGAACCCGAUGUGUAAACCCGAAAAAUUUGGGACAG